rnacentral:rRNA from 1 species
CCUGAUGCAGCGACGCCGCGUGAGGGAUGACGGCCUUCGGGUUGUAAACCUCUUUCAGCAGGGACGAAGCGAAAGUGACGGUACCUGCAGAAGAAGCACCGGCCAACUACGUGCCAGCAGCCGCGGUAAUACGUAGGGUGCAAGCGUUGUCCGGAAUUACUGGGCGUAAAGAGCUCGUAGGCGGUUUGUCGCGUCGUCUGUGAAAACUCGAGGCUCAACCUCGAGCUUGCAGGCGAUACGGGCAGACUUGAGUACUGCAGGGGAGACUGGAAUUCCUGGUGUAGCGGUGAAAUGCGCAGAUAUCAGGAGGAACACCGGUGGCGAAGGCGGGUCUCUGGGCAGUAACUGACGCUGAGGAGCGAAAGCGUGGGUAGCGAACAGGAUUAGAUACCCUGGUAGUCCACGCCGUAAACGGUGGGCGCUAGGUGUGGGUUUCCUUCCACGGGAUCCGUGCCGUAGCUAACGCAUUAAGCGCCCCGCCUGGGGAGUACGGCCGCAAGGCUAAAACUCAAAGGAAUUGACGGGGGCCCGCACAAGCGGCGGAGCAUGUGGAUUAAUUCGAUGCAACGCGAAGAACCUUACCUGGGUUUGACAUAUACCGGAAAGCCGUAGAGAUACGGCCCCCCUUGUGG